GGAUUAGAUACCCUGGUAGUCCACGCCCUAAACGAUGUACACUAGUUGUUGGGGUGCUAGUCAUCUCAGUAAUGCAGCUAACGCAUUAAGUGUACCGCCUGGGGAGUACGGUCGCAAGAUUAAAACUCAAAGGAAUAGACGGGGACCCGCACAAGCGGUGGAGCAUGUGGUUUAAUUCGAAGAUACGCGAAGAACCUUACCUGGGCUUGAUAUCCUAAGAACCUUUUAGAGAUAAGAGGGUGCUAGCUUGCUAGAACUUAGAGACAGGUGCUGCACGGCUGUCGUCAGCUCGUGUCGUGAGAUGUUGGGUUAAGUCCCGCAACGAGCGCAACCCACGUAUUUAGUUGCUAACGGUUCGGCCGAGCACUCUAAAUAGACUGCCUUCGUAAGGAGGAGGAAGGUGUGGACGACGUCAAGUCAUCAUGGCCCUUAUGCCCAGGGCGACACACGUGCUACAAUGGCAUAUACAAUGAGACGCAAUACCGCGAGGUGGAGCAAAUCUAUAAAAUAUGUCCCAGUUCGGAUUGUUCUCUGCAACUCGAGAGCAUGAAGCCGGAAUCGCUAGUAAUCGUAGAUCAGCCAUGCUACGGUGAAUACGUUCCCGGGUCUUGUACUCACCGCCCGUCACACCAUGGGAGUUGAUUUCACUCGAAGCCGGAAUACUAAACUAGUUACCGUCCACAGUGGAAUCAGCGACUGGGGUGAAGUCGUAACAAGGUAACCGUAGGAGAACCUGCGGUUGGAUCACCUCCUUUCUA
rnacentral:rRNA from 1 species